CUUUUUUUUUUUCUUUUUUUUUUUUUUAAACAGGAGGUUUUUAACAAUCUCCUGAUGAAAUGCUCAUUAUACAGAUAUAUUUUGACAAGUCCUCUAAAGCAGUCCCCAAAGACCCUAUUUGCUAUUCUGUUUUGAAAAGAGAGAUCAAAGUUAGGAGAGGAAACAGUAACUUUGCAGGAGCAGGAACCAGACUGAGAGAUAAAACAAUGCUUUCAGCCUUCCCAGAGAACAGUCAGAACAGAAGCAAAUGCAUUACAUCUGAUUCAGUCCAGUAGCAUAACAAGGUUUCAAAUUUUUAGUAGAAAAAGGAAGGGUUGCUUUCACGUAUUUCAUUGCUUUCCUCAGCAAAAAGGAGGUGUUUGUAAAUGAAAAGCCUACACCUUCAAAACACAAUGGGAAAUGGAGGUGAGCCUUGCAAAGGAGCUCUCCACACCUAUACAUAACUCUUACUCUUGCAAGCAAAAACAUCAGUAAAAAUUCAGACACGUUCUUCCCUGUCUGAUGGGAUAAGGGGAACAGGAAGGGAAGAACAAGCAAAAAAAAAUUCCAAGACCCCACAGAUAAAGUCACUUCUGUUCCACAAUCACAAAACUGCCAUUUCUGGCAGAAACACCCAACACUGAUUAGAAGAGCUGCAGCAGUUACAUCAUAAACUGCAAUGAUUUCAAGUAGUAGCUUGCUCCUCCAAGGCAAAACGGUCAUUUACAUUAUUCCAUCCAGUUCAAUUACUCGAAAAGCAGCAGCAUGGGUUCCUCUAAAACCAGCACUUCUUUUGCUUUUGCACACUGUUUUAUUACAGGUUGUCUGAGUAUCUCUAUACCACUACAACGAGCAACUUGUGGAAUCUGAAAUCUCAUGUUAUAGCUAAUUGUCACAUCAGUAAUUUAACAGUGUAAAAAAGGUCCUUUGGGCAGCACUACUUCACAGACCAUCUGUUUGGAGCAUAUAGGAAAGAGUCAGUAGCCUUUCUAGGACGAUUAUAGCCUACUGUGUAAAGCCUUACCACUGAGAUGAGUUACAUUAAGUUUCUGAAUACUCGCAUGAAACAUUGUAGUCACUCCUGCUAAAAUUAAAAGCUUAACAGU
rnacentral:lncRNA from 1 species